rnacentral:rRNA from 1 species
AUUGAACGCUGGCGGCAUGCCUUACACAUGCAAGUCGAACGGUAACAGGUCUUCGGAUGCUGACGAGUGGCGAACGGGUGAGUAAUACAUCGGAACGUGCCCGAGAGUGGGGGAUAACGAGGCGAAAGCUUUGCUAAUACCGCAUACGAUCUCAGGAUGAAAGCAGGGGACCGCAAGGCCUUGCGCUCACGGAGCGGCCGAUGGCAGAUUAGGUAGUUGGUGGGAUAAAAGCUUACCAAGCCGACGAUCUGUAGCUGGUCUGAGAGAACGACCAGCCACACUGGGACUGAGACACGGCCCAGACUCCUACGGGAGGCAGCAGUGGGGAAUUUUGGACAAUGGGCGCAAGCCUGAUCCAGCCAUGCCGCGUGCAGGAUGAAGGCCUUCGGGUUGUAAACUGCUUUUGUACGGAACGAAAAGACUCCUUCUAAUAAAGGGGGUCCAUGACGGUACCGUAAGAAUAAGCACCGGCUAACUACGUGCCAGCCGCCGCUGUAAUAC